rnacentral:rRNA from 1 species
UACAGAGGCCCCAAGCGUUACUGAGAAUCACUGGGUUUAAAGGGUGCGUAGGUGGCGCGUUAAGUCCGUUGUGAAAUCCCUGGGCUCAACCCAGGAAAUGCUUCGGAUACUGGCGCGCUUGAGGCUAGUAGGGGUCACUGGAACUGACGGUGGAGCGGUGAAAUGCGUAGAUAUCGUCAGGAACGCCAAUGGUGAAGACAGGUGACUGGGCUAGAUCUGACACUGAGGCACGAAAGCGUGGGGAGCGAACGGG